rnacentral:misc_RNA from 1 species
GAUGAAGAACGCAGCGAAAUGCGAUACGUAAUGUGAAUUGCAGAAUUCAGUGAAUCAUCGAGUCUUUGAACGCACAUUGCGCCCGCCAGUAUUCUGGCGGGCAUGCCUGUUCGAGCGUCAUUUCAACCAUCAAGCCCCAGGCUUGUGUUGGGGACCUGCGGCUGCCGCAGGCCCUGAAAACCAGUGGCGGGCUCGCUGUCACACCGGGCGUAGUAGAUUUUAUCUCGCUCUGGGCGUGCUGCGGGUUCCGGCCGUUAAAAAACCCUUUUAACCCAAGGUUGACCUCGGAUCAGGUAGGAAUACCCGCUGAACUUAAGCAUAUCAAUAAGCGGAGGA